AAAAUAUUAACAAGUUCACAACUUUCUUUUGACAAUACACAAAGCAUCAUCUCCAUUUUGGUCCUAGGACAAUUAUUUCCAUCGAGGUUGUAGGACCUUCAUCGCUGGCAAGUGGGGAAGGAGGAGGAGACCGAGGAAUGGAGAAAGCACCACAACCAAGAAUAUUGGCCAGCAAACCUUGAAGGAGAUCAAAUUGUUUGUCCCUCUUUUCUAGCUGAACUUGAAGGAUAUCGAAUCUCUUUUUUUCACUAGCCUUGGUCUCUUGAAGCUCUGCUGUCAGCUUUACAAUCUUUUCUUCCAUAGAGGAUAUAGUCGAACUAUCAAUCACCUCGCCUUGGGCGAAAGUCCCUAUACCUUGGAAUCCAGCCCUGUAGCACCGAAACCAUUUAUCUCAAAAGCCGUAUGCUAUCCCCUUUUUAGGACCAUCGACAAUAUCCAACCAUAUCAUCUUCUCUUCUUCAUCCGAAAUGGGCGGUCGCUCUCCUUGCUCAUUGGGUGGCAAGAUCUGAGUGUACUCCUCCAAAUUGAUCUUGUAGCGGCU
rnacentral:lncRNA from 1 species